rnacentral:misc_RNA from 1 species
AGACAUGCAAAGACGGCGCGCACGCACGCACGCGAAGCAAUCGGCACAGUUUGGCAGAAGUAUAGAAAAACAUCAAUGAACACCUUCUUCCCCCCUCCCUGAUCUCCUCUCUCUCUCUAUCCCCACCGCAGACAAAGAGAGACGCUACCCAGAAACAUAUUGAGGGGAAAGGGGAGGACAGUGUGGUACAUCACAGAGUUUGUGUGCUACAAGACGCGAAUGUCGUGCAUGGGACAGCAAUGCCCUCCAUCUCACGCGGUGCUUCUCCUGCCUGCCCCUAGUGGUGGCGCGAGAAGCGGCGCAUACACCACAGCACCACCGCAGCACACAGCUACUACGUGUCUCAGAUGCUUCGUUGAGUCGCUUCAAAACGGCACACCACCACCCUCCGUGGAUGAGGUGUACCGCGGUGCCGUAGCCAUCAUGGAGGCGCUUGUGCAUAACUGCCCCGCCAGCGAAGAUGGCGAAGGCGCGCUGCUGGCCUGGGCAUACGACUGGCUGACGUUCGACCGCGACACCGACCCCUGUGCAAUACUCACCUUCUCUGGGGAGGUGCGCGUUUCGCAUCCGCGCCGUAUGGGCUCCACUUUGGCCGAUGUCCUUGUCGCGUUGUACACGUACGUCGUACGCCAUGGAGGCCGUUUCAGCGGCGGCCGCUCGGUGGUCGCAGCUGAUAAGACGGGCGCAAGAGCAGCACUGGGCACCGCUGCUGGCUCUCUUCACAGUCCGGAUCGCGACGCGGAAGAUGCUCGGUGGGUCGUGCUCGUCGACCUUGCCCAGUUUCUCUUCUCCUGCUGGGAUCUGCUGUUGGUCGGCGUGCCGACGCCCUUGUCGCAGCAGGUGCCGCCGUUGCACACCAGCAUGGCGAUUCUAACUUCUCAGGAGGCAUCGUUGCAGUGCCGUAGCGCUGUUUUUGACUGCUCACCAGCUGUCCCGUUGCCAUCGCCGGUGUUACUCGGGGAGACCGGCGACGGCGUGCCUGAGGAGGACGCACGGCAGUGCUGCUACCGGGAAGGAGGGGAUAAGGAGCCUGUGCAACGCGCCGGAUCGCAUGAGAACGUCGCUCAGGUGACCGCCGAAUCCGUGCACGACGUAGUUCGCCGGGUUAUAAGUGAGAUUUUCCGUGUCGCCGACGACGACGCGGCUACAAUCGCGGCAGGUCACAGCCGUGGCCCGCUCCGGAGCCCUGCGGCCGCCGCCACAUUUCUGAAAAUGGUGCAAGCCUCUCCCCUGCUCCGGCGGCUUGUAUGCUCUUCUCCACUUCUCAUCCGCUCCCUUGCGCGGUAUCUCCUGCCGCGGCUCGUUUUGCUGCAUCAUCGUCAACAGCAGCAGCUCCAUCAUCACGUCCCCGGUGAGGUAGGGGGAAAAAGAGCAGUGGCUGCCACCGCCAUCGAAGCACUGCUUUCCACGCUACACGCCGUCUCCUCAUAUGCAGCCUUGCCCAUGUCGAUGUGGUCUGCGCAGCCGCUGCCAGUCGUCGCGUCGCAGCUGUCGUGCCGCUGCUGCUCGUCGGACUCUGAGGUGUCACCAGCAUCCUCGCUUGCUGACAGCGACGGCGCCACGCUGCUCGAAACCCUGUGUGUCGUGCUGCAGUCUUGUUGCGGGGCUUACCCGUCCCCGUUGCGCCUUCAGACCUUGCGGCUUUUGCACCUGCUGAGCUCUUCACCCACGACACGGCACGCGCUCUUCUCCUCGUGCCGCCGCGAUGAGGUGUCAAGCAUGUUUUCGAUGCACGAGGAGAAGCCAAGACCAGCAGAUUCAGCAGCUGCUGCCGCGGUUGUGUCUAGAUCGCAGAGGCCUAGUGCGCUGGAUGUUGCACCGCACCUGCUGCCGCUAUUACUCAGCGGCGAGGGCGAGGUAGAAUCGGUCCAGCUCACCUGCAGCGUGCUGCAGCUGAUACUCCUCCACGUUCAGUCUCCACGUCUUUCUGCGCCACUCUCCGACCAGCACAACAACACUGCCCACAACACGACCACGGCAGCAGCUGGUGUGGCCGCCACCUUCACAGAAGACGGUAUCGUCGGGACCGCAGAUGAUGUGUUGGGCAUCAAGGCGGCAGUUCAGCUUGCGCACCACAUAAAAGACUACGCGAUGCAGGCGCUCUACUCCUGCACGUGCAAGACCGGGUACGCCUUGGUUGGGCUGCUGGACAGUGCGGCGUCUGUCGUGGCUGGCGCACGUGCGCUGCGGCAAGGUGCGAGCAUCGGAGCAGACGCAUCUGCCGAGUAUGACGAUGCAACAGUGCGAUGGGAGCAGCGACAGGACUGGCGCAUCAUCUUCCACGUCGCAGAGGUGGACAUGGCGCUCUUCGGCGUGCUUCUCCAAGGGACCGCUCUGUACGAUGCACUUGUCCAGUGCAACGGCGCCUGCGUCAGUGACGACGGCAGCGAAACCCGACUUGUCUGGGAUGAGGUUGCAAGCAGCAUCGUCGCUAUCGCGUCGCAUGAGCGCGGCGCGCAACUCUCCCUCUACAGCUUCCUGCGCUGCCUGGACGCGCUUGCGGCCGGGAUGCGGGGCAAUGUGCAGGCUCUCUGGUGCAACCGUCUGCGCCAGCUGGCGCACGAACUACUUGAGCGUGUGGACAGCCAUGUGCAAGACACGAGGUGGCGGCCAGCCGACACCGCAGCCGCGAUGAGGACGUUUUCGACUUUGGUGAUGUCUGGUGCGCUCCAAGACAACUCCAAUGACGAGUCCUUGUCCACCACGGCUGUGCCCCACGUUCGCGACGCGGCGGACACGCUCCUCCUACGGCGAAUGGUGGACCCUCAGACACUGCAUCUUCUGACGCGGGUGACAGCAGCCUACCUACCGGCCUCGUGUGGCCUCCUCGUCCCCCUAGGUGUGCAGCUACUCGACGAUGCUGUGUGCACAGGCGAACUCAUCGCGAUUCACUGCCCGGAGCCUAGCGGUUACCCUACAAUGACGUCGGCGUCCGUGGAGGAGAGUCGGUGUCUGCUCCGCAUUGCCACGUUUCUCAUGCGCAAUCAGCGUGAGAGCGGGGCAACUCCGACGCCGACAUUGACGUCCAAGGAAAGUCGCACGCGGCGUGCAAGCGACGGCCCCAGCCCCACUGGCCAAAAGCCCACCAUCCCGCCCUACCCUAUCCCAGGACAGCCCCACAUGUCGCCGUACACCUCCCGCGGCACAGGACGCUCAAAUGGCGGCGCCGACAGGGCCGGGCUGUUGGAUGUCCUGCUUGGCCUCUAUCCGGAGGCGCCAGAGCUGUUAGCGGCGCGGACGGAGCUCAUCCACGCUGUGGCACGAGGGCACGACGCUGAAGAUGCACAGCCGGAGCUCCUCGCUGCCCGUGCCUCCGCGUUCGUGGGCGCUGCGUCACUGACUGAGGUAGCGAUGUGCGCGAGUGACCUCCAGGCCUCGCUUUUGCUGAGUCUGGCGACGCUCGGGUGUCGUCCAUGCGUCGGGCGACAAGAGCUACGUGCCAUGCUGGAGGACCAGUGCCUCGUGUUGUGCAGCCGUCUACAGCGGGCAGGCUUCAGCGACUCUACUCGAGCGCCGGUCGCAUUAUGGUUAGCUGAGGCGGCAGAGGAGGAGGGUGAUGCUGUCGACCCGGCAAUCGCGGAGACAGCAUCCGACGGCGACGGCGACGACAACGCGGGCCUGCUGCUCGACGCACUGCAGGAAGUGUUCAUCCUAUUUGUUGUGCGCAUGUUAUGGUACGGCGGUCCGGAGUCAGAUCCUUCUCAGCCAUUGCCAUCACCGUCGUCGCAGGCGUCUGCCACCGAUGCCGCGGCAGAUGGUUUUUUCUCUGAGGCGCAUGCGCACGCGCUCAUGAUGUGUGUAGAGGAUAGUGUGGAGUUGCAGGAAGGUCUGCGCCAGCUCCUCUUCGACCUCCACACGCAGUAUCGCGUGGACGUGCGCGGCUUCCUGGCGCUUCUCCAGAGUGAGAAAGACCACGUGCCGCGACAGCGACCGCAUCAGGCGCAGGCCCCGUCGUCCGUGCUCUUUGCCGCUGCUGUUUUGAGCGUGAUCCUUUACGAUGGAGACCAGCCCGGGCUCUCGGCGACACAAGCCGGCGCGGCAUCUCCACUUCGUACGUAUAUGCGCUCUCUUCGCUCAGUGCAUUGGCUCACCGACACCUCGUCGCAGGAAGCGGGCGUGCCUUUCUCGGUCGGCCUGCUCUUGAGGUCGGUAUUCCGUGUGGCACAACGGGAGCUCCUGUCCCUCGAUUGCCUUCCUCACCCCCAAGAGCAACUGGCGGAUGUAGCGCUGGCCACCACCGCCGCAUUCCCCGCAGCCAUUGGGGGUCUGCACUUUCUCUACGGCGAGCUGGCGUUCCAGCAGCGCGGCUUGCAAAGCGGCGCUUUGCCGGUGCAACGCGUGGUGGAACGCCAGCUCGCAGCCGGAGAGGGCGUUCCGGUUUCCGCCUCCGGCUCGUCACCCGGUGUGGCGCUUUCAAUUUGCGUGUUGCGUGAGCACCUGGUACCGUUUCUCCUCCGCACCAACAGCAGCAGUGCUGCACACCGCAAUAAUCUGUCCAUGACCGUCGCUGCCCUCAAGUACUCCACAGUGCUCUUGCAGCUGAUGUCUGUCGCGCUGUGGCCCCUCGCACCGGCGACGUGCACGUCAGUGGACGCAGUACUGACCGAGUAUGCCAUGAGCCGCGCUCGCCAGCUUCUAGCGCUCACAACAGCCGAACUGACGCGCGCUGACGGCGCCGCCCGCAAACUUCUCUAUCCCCUUUUGCAGCUGCUGUACCUGCUGCUCAUGCGCGCGCACAAGGUCGAUGUGGUGCGCCGCUAUGGCACCGACUUGCUUCUCUUUGCCUUCAGAGCAAGACACGCUGCUAUCGCACGCGCCCACCUGAUCGUCUCUGGCGAAGUGGAGCAGGGUGCUCUGACAGACUCUGAUGAGGACAGCGCGCACGUCUGCGUCAUUGCAUCCAUUGUGUACAUCAUGGCUCAACAGAUUGCCGCCCCAAGGCGAAAAAGAACGACGGGGGAUACUGAGAUAGGGAGUGUCGAGGACGUUGCUCGUGCGGCCUCCGGCGGCGCUGCAGCAGUCGGCGGAGGGGGGCUAGAGCCACCGUCGCGGAAAGAUAUGCCUUGGUAUGUGUGGAUCCCCGUCCUACGGUACUACUGGUGCUUGCGGACCGCAGUCAGCCGCACCGCCAACGACCAUGCCGUGCGUGAGCAACGGCGAAGCGUGCUGCGCAUACUGGUUUCCGGCGUGGAGUACGUAAUUCGACUCUGUGGGGUGUCGCAUCUGGCGUGCUGCAGCCACAGCGCAGCUCACGUUAGCAACGACCCCGACCGAGAUGAGCGGCAAGCCGCAACCAUCUUGAUUGACUGGUGCACUGAGCUGAUCUUCUCCUCUUGGAGGAGCGGCGACGACUUCAACGACGCGCACGCCAACGGCACAAUCGUUGCGGCGCGCCUGCUAUACCUUCUCUUCUACCGCUUUCGUGCGCUAGCUGCGAACUCUGUGUGGUUCAACGCCCUCGUCCUGAGCUGUAUGCGUCAGACAGCGCUGUCGCGGCUGCUACGGCUCCCACUGGCCGCUGAAGGGUGGCUGCUCGCCGCGCUCAUUCAAGUUCUGCCCUACGUGCAGCACUCGCGCGCAUAUGACAACUAUGUGAAGGGAAGCGCUGCCAAGUUCUUUGAGAAGCCGGAAAUUGCGGUGCGCGUAAAACUGUUGCCGCACACUCCACCAAAGGAAGCGGCAACGGCAGUUGCAGCACGCCUUGUUGGUGCUUGUGGCGGCUGGGCUGAUGUGUCGGCUUCGGAGCCCGAGCUCAGCUGCGUCCUUCGCAUUCUUGUGGCGGCGUGUCGGCGAUACGAGUUGUCCUCGCACCGCUUGCGCAGCAGCAGCAGCAGCCUCGAGGUGAUCGUUCCGCUGGGUUUGCAGUUUGUGGAGGAGGCUCCUAUACGUGAAUGCCCUUCUGUUCUGGAGUACGCUUUCCCCUACACCGUCCCCUUCACGACAACCGCGGCACCACCUCUCCUGCUCGUCUUUCGCUGCUUUGCCGACCAGAUCCACGCGUGACGUGUCUUCUGCUGUUCUCUCUGCUCUCGAGCUCUCUCUUGUUUGGGUGUUGCUCUGUUUCUCCCUCACUGCUCAAAUACAGCUUCUACAUCCACGGCUCUCAGAGAAGCGCGGCGGAUCUUUGGUAUAAACACCUCCUUCGGAAGUAGGCACUCACGAGGGUGUCGUCGCAUGCUGGACAUCAUGCGUGUGAGAUGUGCGCGCCAGUCCACCUAGCCCCUCUCUCUCUCCCUCAGACCUGCUCUUCCACCCCUCCCUCUCUCAAAAG